UGGUGGAGUGAUUUGUCUGGUUAAUUCCGUUAACGAACGAGACCACUGCCUGCUAAAUAGCCCAGUGAGUGAAUCUUCACUGACUGCUGGCUUCUUAGAGGGACGUGCAUCUUUCAGAUGCAGGAGGAUGGUGGCUAUAACA
rnacentral:rRNA from 1 species